rnacentral:rRNA from 1 species
UACGUAGGGAGCAAGCGUUGUCCGGAAUCAUUGGGCGUAAAGCGCGCGUAGGCGGCCCUGUAAGUCCGCUGUGAAAGUCAAAGGCUCAACCUUUGAAAGCCGGUGGAUACUGCAGGGCUAGAGUCCGGAAGAGGCGAGUGGAAUUCCUGGUGUAGCGGUGGAAUGCGCAGAUAUCGGGAGGAACACCAAUGGCGAAGGCAGCUCGCUGGGACGGUACUGACGCUGAGACGCGAAAGCGUGGGGAGCAAACAGG